AGACUUAAAUUAACUGCACUUAGUUUCCAUUAAAGUCAAUAUGAGAAGAACCAUUGAUUUUAAUGGGAACCAAGUGCAGUUAACUUAAUGCU